rnacentral:rRNA from 1 species
AUUUAAUAAAAUUAGAUUAAGAUUUGGUUUGGAAGUUUAAAAUUAUUAAUCCUGUUUUAUUGGGCUGGGGCGGCUUUGAUAUAUAAAAAACUGUCAAUAAAAUAUAAUACUUAUAAGUAGGAGAUUUAAUGAACCUUGGUAGAGAUUAAAAGAUU